rnacentral:rRNA from 1 species
UACGGAGGGAGCUAGCGUUGUUCGGAAUUACUGGGCGUAAAGCGCACGUAGGCGGCUAUUCAAGUCAGAGGUGAAAGCCCGGGGCUCAACCCCGGAAUUGCCUUUAAGACUGCAUCGCUUGAAUCCAGGAGAGGUGAGUGGAAUUCCGAGUGUAGAGGUGAAAUUCGUAGAUAUUCGGAAGAACACCAGUGGCGAAGGCGGCUCACUGGACUGGUAUUGACGCUGAGGUGCGAAAGCGUGGGGAGCAAACAGG